rnacentral:misc_RNA from 1 species
ACCUCGACUUCGGUUCGACGGACAUCCGGUAGUCCGCUUGCUUUCUAUUCCUGCCUGGUUUUCGGGGCGCGAGCCCCCGGACCAACCAGGUUCGUGAUCUCUCACAUCUUGUAUGAAGUGGUGGUGGUAGCUGUGGUGCCGAGGCCACGUCGGACAUGUUCCGACGGAGGCAGCUCGAGCACUUGGUGAUUCAAGCUACAAAGGGCACAUGGUGGAUGCCUUGGC